rnacentral:rRNA from 1 species
AUUGAACGCUGGCGGCAGGCCUAACACAUGCAAGUCGAACGAGUGGCGGACGGGUGAGUAAUGUCUGGGAAACUGCCUGCUGGAGGGGGAUAACUACUGUAAACGGUAGCUAAUACCGCAUACCAUCGGAUGUGCCCAGAUGGGAUUAGCUAGGAGGUGGGGUAAAGGCUCACCUAGGCGACGAUCCCUAGCUGGUCUGAGAGGAUGACCAGCCACACUGGAACGGAGAUACGGUCCAGACUCCGACGGGAGGCAGCAGUGGGGAAUAUUGCACAAUGGGCGCAAGCCGGAUGCAGCCAUGACGCGUGUAUGAAGAAGGCCUGCGGGUUGUAAAGUACUUUCAGCGGGGAGGCGUUACCCGCAGAAGAAGCACCGGCUAAAUCCGUGCCAGCAGACGCGGUAAUAC